GUUGGUUGAAAAUCACCCCCGGCUUUGGCCAUGGCAGCGGGUGAGAUUCGGUGCCCAGAGCCUCCAGGGGCCUCAGCUCACCGUGCACUGCCACAUGUGCGGUGGUGAAACCCAGCCCCGACAGGC
ensembl:snoRNA